rnacentral:rRNA from 1 species
AGAUUGAACGCUGGCGGCAGGCCUAACACAUGCAAGUCGAGCGGCAGCACGGGUACUUGUACCUGGUGGCGAGCGGCGGACGGGUGAGUAAUGCCUAGGAAUCUGCCUGGUAGUGGGGGAUAACGCUCGGAAACGGACGCUAAUACCGCAUACGUCCUACGGGAGAAAGCAGGGGACCUUCGGGCCUUGCGCUAUCAGAUGAGCCUAGGUCGGAUUAGCUAGUUGGUGAGGUAAUGGCUCACCAAGGCGACGAUCCGUAACUGGUCUGAGAGGAUGAUCAGUCACACUGGAACUGAGACACGGUCCAGACUCCUACGGGAGCAGCAGUGGGAAUAUUGGACAAUGGGACGAAAGCCUGAUCCAGCCAUGCCGCGUGUGUGAAGAAGGUCUUCGGAUUGAAAGCACUUUAAGUGGAGGAAGGCAAUUACCUAAUACGUAUCUGUUUUGACGUUACCGACAGAAUAAGCAACCGGCUAAACUCUGU